rnacentral:rRNA from 1 species
UGGGGAAUUUUGGACAAUGGGGGCAACCCUGAUCCAGCAAUGCCGCGUGUGUGAAGAAGGCCUUCGGGUUGUAAAGCACUUUUGUCCGGAAAGAAAACUUCGGGGCUAAUACCCCUGGAGGAUGACGGUACCGGAAGAAUAAGCACCGGCUAACUACGUGCCAGCAGCCGCGGUAAUACGUAGGGUGCGAGCGUUAAUCGGAAUUACUGGGCGUAAAGCGUGCGCAGGCGGUGCUGUAAGACCGAUGUGAAAUCCCCGGGCUUAACCUGGGAACUACAUUGGGGACUGCAGCGCUGGAGUAUGGCAGGGGGGGGUGGAAUUCCACGUGUAGCAGUGAAAUGCGUAGAGAUGUGGAGGAACACCGAUGGCGAAGGCAGCCCCCUGGGCCAAUACUGACGCUCAUGCACGAAAGCGUGGGGAGCAAACAGG